rnacentral:rRNA from 1 species
AUUGAACGCUGGCGGCAGGCCUAACACAUGCAAGUCGAGCGGAUGAAGGGAGCUUGCUCCUGGAUUCAGCGGCGGACGGGUGAGUAAUGCCUAGGAAUCUGCCUGGUAGUGGGGGAUAACGUCCGGAAACGGGCGCUAAUACCGCAUACGUCCCGAGGGAGAAAGUGGGGGAUCUUCGGACCUCACGCUAUCAGAUGAGCCUAGGUCGGAUUAGCUAGUUGGUGGGGUAAAGGCCUACCAAGGCGACGAUCCGUAACUGGUCUGAGAGGAUGAUCAGUCACACUGGAACUGAGACACGGCCCAGACUCCUACGGGAGGCAGCAGUGGGGAAUAUUGGACAAUGGGCGAAAGCCUGAUCCAGCCAUGCCGCGUGUGUGAAGAAGGUCUUCGGAUUGUAAAGCACUUUAAGUUGGGAGGAAGGGCAGUAAGUUAAUACCUUGCUGUUUUGACGUUACCAACAGAAUAAGCACCGGCUAACUUCGUG